CGUUUCUGAAUUCUGAAUCAGAUCCGCCGCCUCUCCUCUAACCCUAAAUCCCUCCACCAACUCCAUCGUCCUCCGUCGCCGGUCGCCCCUCCAGCCGUCGCCUGUCACCCCUCCAGCUCCUGUCGGCCCUUCACACCGUCCUCUCCACUCUCCACAGCUCCGACUCCAGAUUUCAGAUUUAGUAAGUAAAAGGUAGACGGUUUUUCUCCACUCUACAACAUAGAUUAUUCAACAUCAAGUUGUAAUGUAAGUUAUUCAUUAAUUUUGAUGUAAUUUAUGUAUUGUUAAGUUACAAAUUGAUUGCUAAGUAUCUCUGAAUAUUUCUUAUUAUAGAUGUUGUGUGAUGAAAGUGAAGCAGUUGGAGAUACCAUCGAAAAUAAUGCAACUGAAGAUACUCCAUCUGAGGAUCCUCAAGACAAAGGAGAGGCAAAAAAGAGGAAAACUAUGAAGAAAAGAUCAGAGGUUUGGGAUCAUUUUACUCCGUUCUUAGAUAACAAUAAGAAACAAAGAGCAAAGUGUGUGCAUUGUGCGAAAACAUUGUGUGGAGAAUCUAAGAAUGACACUUCUUCACUUAAAGCACAUUUGAGUAAAUGCAAUAAAAUUUCAACUACAAGUCCUAGGCAAA